UUUAAUCUCUUCAAACAUAAUACCUGGCCCAAUCAUUCUCAUUCAUUACCAGCAUUUACUCCCUUUUAAACCAAUUUCAAUUCAUUGAUUUCCUCAUCAAAUCAAACCAUUUGUCUAAAUGUCCAGAUCUUGUACCACUCACAGAUCUCGAGUUCAUCAUAGCAAAAGAUGGACAAUAGCCAACAAUCCUUGUGCAUGCAAAGCAAUCAAAUCA
rnacentral:lncRNA from 1 species